rnacentral:rRNA from 1 species
CCACACACACACCUGUGCACGAAAGGGGGGUCGGUUCUAUCGCUUGAGCCGUCCUCCCAACCAUCACACAACCACACCUUUAACGAGUCCCGCAUGUCGAUUACGAAAACCUUUACAACUUUCGACAAUGGAUCUCUUGGCUCUCGCAUCGAUGAAGAACGCAGCGAAAUGCGAUAAGUAAUGUGAAUUGCAGAAUUCAGUGAAUCAUCGAAUCUUUGAACGCACCUUGCGCCCCUUGGCAUUCCGAGGGGCACGCCCGUUUGAGUGUCACGAACAUCAUCAACCAGGACCUCCCUUUACCAGGCGGUUCGGGCUUGGACUUGGACGUUGCCGGCGGUAACCGUCGGCUCGUCCCAAAUGCAUUAGCGAGGCUUCUGUUCCUUCUGGCCGCUGACCGUUCGGCGUGACGGGUCCUAUGGACGAAAUGCCGGAGUGAGCGUCUUGGCGGUGGGGGAAUAUGUAUGGAGUCGGGCUUCCAACGGGUCCCACAAGGGACAGCCGACCUGGUCGGUUUGCUCCUUCGAGAGCGUCGUAUGACCUCAGAUCGGGCGGGACUACCCGCUGAACUUAAGCAUAUCA